rfam:Loxodonta africana unplaced genomic scaffold scaffold_21, whole genome shotgun sequence.
UUACUCGCCACUCUCACUCGACUAGCCUGUGGGGCGCAACCCCCCUUCUCUUCUUGGACUUCGAGAGUGUGGGAGCCUCGCGGUGAUGAGAGGCCCUCCAG